ensembl:lncRNA
AGGACAAAAGCCAAGCAGAAGAGUUUACAGGCUGAAGGAUUAGCACUGAUGUGCGUUAUCAACAAAGAAAUGUCGCUUUAUUGUAUUACUGGACUGCUAAUGCUUUGGUCAGGUGUGAUUACAGCUGGCAAUGUUACAGAAGCUCCUGGAGUUGGCACAACAACUUCAAAUGAAAUCUCUGCCUUUAUCAUUAGCAUAAAAAUAACUAACCGCAUUUACAACGACUCGCUUGAAGACCACCAAUCACAUUACUAUAAAAUACUACGACAGGAAGUUGAGAAUAUGUUUUUUGAGAUGUAUAAAUUUACACCAUCAGCUCAGUAUCAAGAGAUUGCAGAGAUGACUUUCAGCAAUGGAUCUGUGAUUGCCAAUUCCAUAGUGUUGUUUGGAACUAAGCAAAUAAGUGGAAAGACUAUUAAAAACAUCUUCAUUACCAAUUAUCAACAUUACCCCGCGACACUGCUGCAUCUAAACAUCAACCAUACUGCAGGUAAAAAUGUCCCUCAUAUUGUUUCUCAUGAGAAUAAGAGUUCAUAAGAGUUUUUUCUACAACACAAGACAGUGAGUGACUGAAGCAUUAGGAGUACACACAGAAAUAG